GAUGAACGCUGGCGGCGUGCCUAAUACAUGCAAGUCGAGCGAACAGAUGAGGAGCUUGCUCCUCUGACGUUAGCGGCGGACGGGUGAGUAACACGUGGAUAACCUACCUAUAAGACUGGGAUAACUUCGGGAAACCGGAGCUAAUACCGGAUAAUAUAUUGAACCGCAUGGUUCAAUAGUGAAAGACGGUUUUGCUGUCACUUAUAGAUGGAUCCGCGCCGCAUUAGCUAGUUGGUAAGGUAACGGCUUACCAAGGCAACGAUGCGUAGCCGACCUGAGAGGGUGAUCGGCCACACUGGAACUGAGACACGGUCCAGACUCCUACGGGAGGCAGCAGUAGGGAAUCUUCCGCAAUUGGCGAAAGCUUGACGGAGCAACGCCGCGUGAGUGAUGAAGGUCUUCGGAUCGUAAAACUCUGUUAUUAGGGAAGAACAAAUGUGUAAGUAACUAUGCACGUCUUGACGGUACCUAAUCAGAAAGCCACGGCUAACUACGUG
rnacentral:rRNA from 1 species